GAAUAGGUCGCGCGGGGGCUCGGCAGACCAGGUGAGUUGCAGCCUUGAAAUCAGUGUAACUUCGUGCGGGGGCCUGGGCACAGCCUCGCCAUCGUCAGGAGCAACCGCGCAGUGGGAUAAACUUUGGCUGCAGCUUUGCCGCACGAGAGGGGCGGGGUUACUUGAAUGGGUCCUCAGGAGAAGGCGAUUGGCCCCGGGGGAAUCGAGGGGGCGGGACUAGCCCAUUGUUGCCAUUGGUCCUGCGGGCCAGUUGAGGGAUGGCAGCGAGGGGGCGGAGCCGGCCAGGGGAGGCAAUUGGUCUGGCGAGAGCCCACCGAGGGGAGCAGGCGGGCGGGCGAGCCCGCAGCCGGGAGCCGGGGGCACGGGGCCGGGAAGCAGCCGCGGCGAGCUCGCCAGGGCCGCAGCCGGGCGAGGGGCGCACGGGGCGUUGGCACCGGGGCGCGCGCCUGCGUCGCCGACUUGGAUGCGGCGGGGACGCUUCUGCGCCGGGUGCGCUCGGCGCGAGCCAUUCAACAGCUGGCCUCGCGGGCCACAGUCGCAGGGAGCGACCGGGAGCGUUGGCCGUUGCGACUGCGGCUGCCGUAGCAGUCCCGCUACCCCAGCGGAGGCCGGAGUGGAGACGCAGCGGCUCCUUAGACUCCCGGUUCCCCGCAUCAUACACUCGUGUGAAGAGAGUGGACACUGACUGGCUUCGUGUAUCAUCUCCAGCAUCAGAAGGAAAGCGUUCGGUGGUCCAGAUGCUACAACGUAGCAGGCUACCGUGACGAGCUCAUGUGAACUGUGGCUUCUCCAAUCGUUCCUUCCUUGAUCACAUUUUCGCCAUAAGGU